rnacentral:lncRNA from 1 species
CGAGGACAAAGUAUGAUAUGCAAGUAAUCUAUUAUAAUGAUUAACCUAAAUCAAUAUGCAGACACUUGGAUGUGCGUGUAUGGGAUCAUUGCAUAUAAGUGCUUAUUUACCUUGGAUAUAUUUGUUCUACAUUGAUGAGUAAAGAAACUAGUACUGCUGGCUGUCGAGCACAAAUUAUGAUGUAGAUCCAAAAGAGCAAGAGUUAUCGGCCUAUGAUAAGGUCUUAGUAGAGUAAAGUCCAAGGAUUAUAGUUAUAUCAAUCUUACACCAAUAUUAUGAUAAGAAUCAUAAUAUGAUAGAGUAAAAUAGUUAAAGUUGACUGUGGGCUUGAUGGCUUGCCCAGUCGGGGCGGAAAUUUGAUAGGCUUGGAUACUAAAUAUAAGCUCAUGGGACAUGCCUCGGACAAAAAAAAGGCCUACUCUGAGAAUUGGGUCGAGCCUAGCGUUAAUUAGGAGACAUAUUGAAUAAAAUAGGCUCCUGGACCGGCCGAAGAUAACAUAUAUAUUUUACAUAUUAAUUAUAUUAAUUAUUUAUAUAUUAUAAUAAUACAAUCUUAUACUAUAUGUUAAUGAGUAUAUCAAUAUCGAUUAUGCUGGGGACGCCACGUACUACCACAUCAGGAUCUGGCCGGGCUUGGCCAAAUGGCUCGUACCAAGCUGGCCCUAGGCAUACAUAUAGAGCUCCAUGCAAGUCUAGCCCAGUUUGAUGUUUGAUCAGCCUAGGGAUAGUUAUAUCUAUCUUCUCACUAUCUAUGACGAGGGAGGGGUGGGAUAGUUCCAUCUAUCUUCCCACAUUCAAUAAAAUGAGCAGAAUAAUAACACUGCUCGCCACUCUUGACAAUGAUGACCUAUGUGACAUGCAAUGGCUAAAACAAGUGUCCAGAUAGUUAAUGAAGUUUGCUUAUAAAAUAUUGUGUUGCAAUAUUAAAAAGAAAAAGAACAUUUCAACAAUCAAUAUAUUUUAUCUUAUUUUAGUCUCUUGUAAUUUCUAUCCUAGAAGUAAAAAUAACUUAGAUUUCUAUUAUUAUAGCUCAGCACUAUGUUGUCACAAUAGCCCAAUGUUACAUUUUUUUUUUUUUUAAUCCCAAUUCACAUCUAUCUCCUUCGAAUGAUCGUAUGAUGGUGAUGAAAAGUCUUUCAAGAUCAAUGCAUCUAGGCUUAUACUACUCUUUGUUAUCCCUUUGACCUUCAUCAUCUUUCCAAUUGAUCCCAUAAGAGUGGCAUGCCUGUGCGCAUCUAUCCUAUUCAUUUGGUUUAUCACCACUCCCUUCUAGCACAUCCAAAUGAGGCUCCACCAACAGAUUCCUGUGGCAUGUCUGGAUGAGAUAGAAAGAGUGCUAACACAAAUAAUAUCGUGAUUAUAACAAUUCUUUUUCGCACCUUAAAUAUGAUUGUGAACUAAGGAUACAUGAGAUGUAGAGUUGGCAGGAAAUACAAAUAAGUAUGUUUUGCAUUUGCGCAGGUGACAAAUCUAGAAAGCAGAAUGUUUGUUGUGUGGUCAGGUUACUUCAACCUAGCCAAGCAAGUUGGUUGGGCUGCAUCAGGUCUCAUGCUAGAUUGGUCCAUGUUAGGCAAGUCCACUAACCUAUUCACUGAUAGUUAUGGCUUUUGUGGACUCUACCCAUAGCUCAUCUCCAACUAAAAGUUUGAGUCCAAUCUAUUAUUAAAAAAUAUUCAUACCCAUAGGUAAACAAACACUGAACAAGACAGCCAAGAAAAUGGUGCCAAUCA